GGGGAAAAGAAAUAAAAAAAAUUAGACAACCGCAACACACGCCACUAAAGCCACCACCGCCGGCAUAACGCGGAAGCAACAGUUGGCAACAUUCACUCGCGCCUCAUUGCUUCGUCCGCUUCGUCUCCGCAACGACAGCCGCCAUCUUCUCGCGCCUAACGUUUUGUAUGGUUUUGUUCUCUGCAAUCCGCGCACACAGCUCAUCGGUGGCUGCACGUCUGCUCGGCGUCGCAAUGCGGCCUGCGUCAUUUUCUGGUGCUCGCGCAAUCGGUGUGAAACAUGUCGCAUGUGAAAUGUUUGAUAGAAGUGCCUCACGUCCAAGUCAAGCCGCCGUACGGGUGUAUGGCUGUGCGCCCCGUUCUCGGAAGCGUCGACGGGUUUCCGGCAUGCGGAUUUCAGCGUUUGGACUCGUCUUUUGGUGAGGAUGUCGAUCGACCUUGGGCCUGGUGACAGCACACCCGACAUCGCCAAAGUGCAGCCUAUCAGUUGAGUGCCCCCGAAUGGACCAUCAACAUCGGAAAAUGAAGCAGAGCCAGGGGGAAAAGGUUCCGGUAACACCAUGCAUUCAGUAUGGUGGCCCAGAUGUGUAUGCAAGCAACCUCCUUCAUCUGGACCAAGAACUACUCUGCAGUGUCUCGCAGACUUCCAUGCGAAGCCCUCAACAUUCUCGUCUCAGUGGAAUGGCUGCUCAUCUAUCUGCGUGUCCAUCACCAAGACGGCCAGUUGUAAAGCUCCUGUACCCGUUUAAGAAAGCUUAAUGAUUUUUUUAUUUAGUUUUCAUGGUUGGCCGUAGAAUCUUAACAUUUUUGAUGUUUCUAACAUUUUUACCUGGCACAAAGUGGUGCAAUAACUUUAAACCAGUGUAAUGUAUUUAAGUGAUGCUCACUCUAAUGCCUAUCUGGUUUUGUUUGUGUUUAAGAAAUUUGAAUGUCUAAUAAGGUAACGGCAUUUGAAUUUGUCAUCAUGGCUCGUUUCAGUGAGCUGCUAGGAAAUAAGACGCAAAGAUUAUCACACGCCAGUUGUAGCAUUUUUGUUUUCAUGAGUAAAGUAUACACGUUUCAAAAGAUGGAAAGUGAGGAAAAAGCCUCAAGAACAUAAUCAACCUAGGAUUGUCAUGUCCUUACAACUCUGCAAUGACUAAUGCCUCAUACAUCUUGGGAGCACAUUGGUCGCAAUGCCUACAGGUAUACUUGAUAAGAGAAUAGCUUGCACUCAGAUUUGCCACGCAGUUGAUGGCUGAUGGCUUUUGUUUGUCGUCGUCAUGUUACUACUAUGUAUUGAAUAUUCAUUUAGAUGUGCUGCGGUUUUUUGCAGUCACCUAUAUAUAUGUUCUUCGUUUCAAUAAACAUUUAGUUGAGA